rnacentral:lncRNA from 1 species
AUUCUCGAUGAGCGCGUUGUAGAUAAUCUUCAGAUUGUAAUUCCUCUGCGCGUCCAGUGUCCUAUUCAGCACCACCACUAAGACCUGGGUUUGCGGGUAGAGGAAAAAACCGGCUACAGGGACAGCCCCGAACGCCCGGUCCUCGGCCAGCUGCACUUUCUCCACCGCCACUCGGGAAGCGUGCAGCACUACGUAGCGGGUGGCGUUCCGGCACGCGAUCUCCACGUUGACCUCCCCGGAGAAGGUGAAGUUCUCCAUGAAGGCGGUGAGCAUCAGAUUGUAGUGCAGCGGCUUCAGGUGGCCCGACAGGCGCAGCUGCGUCCACGGCUCCCACGGCUCCCGCUCCUCCUCCGACGGCGGCUGGGCCGACGUGGUCCCCGGACUGGCCACCCCACCCGCCUCGGGCUGCCAGGAGUCCCCGCCUGCGUGGUGGUUGCGCCGGGCCGAUCCAGGGAGGCUCCCGUUGCCGCCGCGCUCCGGAAAGCCUGAGGGGCCACCGUCGGCGCCUGGCGUGGCACUCGCCCCGCACUCGUCGAAGCGCAGGCUGAGCAGCACAGCGAGCAUUGUGACCGCGAGCAAUGCCACGAGGGACACAGCGAAGGCCAGCACAAGCCGCUUGUGUACGGCGAUGUGGCGCUCCGUGGUGCGGGGUCGCACUCCCACUGAGUCUGCCCACGGGUCGGAGAGCCCCCUGCUGCCAGCCCGAAGCGCGGCGUCGUCUUCCCCCAUCGCGGCUGCGAAGGCGGCGGCGUUCGGUCCUCUGGGUGGAAUGUGCUCGCAGCAGCAGUGACGGCGGCCACAGCACGGGAGGCACCCGAGCCAUACACCCUGCAGCUGGAGAGAAAAGGAUGGCCGAGGUGGGAGAGACUAGAGUGAACCAGCAGGAGGAAGUCCCAGGGCCGCGAAGCUACGACGGAGAUCCGUCCUGGAAAAGCCUUCUCCACCCUGGGCACUUUAAGCGGCGGUGGCGGCAAACGGCAGGAGGUUGCAGACCCGACAGCGAGACUCCCUCAUUCCAGUCUUGCUCUGCCCUCCGGAGAUGACAAGUGAGAAAGAAGUGUCCGGCCGGGCCAUCCCCUUCAGAGAAGCAACCACUUCACAAGAAGAUUCUGAAGUUGGCCAUUUUUGAUCCCAGAACAGUUUCUCAUAGAUUAGAAAUAUUGGAGUCUACACAAAAAUCGAUAUUCAUUUACAAGAUCAUCACUAAACUUAUCUUGCAUAACGUCUCUGCCAGCCACAUUAACUGCCUGCAGAAAAGUUUGUUAUGACUGCCUGGUUUUGUAAAGUCCAGACAACUUUACACUAAGCUGAAUAAUGUUCAUUUACUCAAAAGCUAGUCUAAAAUUGUAGAGUUAAUGAACACUAAACCAAAGUUAGUGCUUUAACUGAAAGAUAAUUUACUGUACCCUUUGGAGUCCAGUCCGGUACCAUCAAGAUCUGGGAAAAUACAACUGGUAAGCACUUUAACUUUUUCUCAGAAAAUCAUUAUCUACUUCCUUCAUACUUACUUAACAUCUCAAGAAAAGGAAAGAAAGGGGGAAAAUAUCUAAAAUUUUAAUCUAAAUCUUUCUUAAACUGUGCAUUUCAAAUACAUAAAAUACUGUGUGAAAGGGUGUUAAAAGUAGUAUCUAGAAAUGGCUUCCAACUCUAUAACUUGGUGUAAGCCUUGUGGAAAGUAAUUUACCAACGACUGUCAAAAUUCACAAAUCUAAAGACUGUAGCAAGACUCUUGAGAUACCUUGUAACUAUUGGCAUGAUUCCUUUCUACUACAAUGAAAGUUUCUUCAGGGCAGGAAACACAUAUAUUCAUUUCUGUAUCCACAGAGUAAGCAAAGAUUCUGGGACAUACUGUCCUUCAUACGCGUAUUUCGAAUGAACGAAGGCUCCAUUUGGUAGUAUUUAUCAUCAGCUUCUUGGCCCUUACUACUCCCUUCUUUCAUUUAAAGCUUAUGUCUUAUGUCCUCUUCCCUGCCCAGCACUCUUUUUGGCUGUAUGCCUGAUAAGGGUGCUCUUCAGCUUGGCCUCCUUUGACUCUAUUCCUUCCCUGUUCUACUUUUAGAGUCUCAAUAAACUCUUGUUUCUUAUAGUGGAAAAAUGCAUUUAUAAAUCAAGACUGGGCAUUAAAUUUGCUCACUGCUGCUCAGGCAUUGUUGCUCCCGUGUCCAGUUGCUCCCAGUGAGCCACUCUAUUGGAGUUGGUCCCACAGUCAAGACCCUACUUUUCCCUAGCUCUAGCCUAGAAACUUGUCACCAGAGCAUUAAUCUACAUUUUAGAGAGGAUUACCUACCAAAAAAAAGUAUCAUUUUUCCUGAAUAAGUAAUAUGUUCUAGAAUCAGUGUGUGAUCCUCUCAGCUUCCUUUUUGGAAACCAAAUGAUGGUUCUCCUGGAGAAAGAAUUUGAGUAGAUGUUGAAACAAUUUAGGCUAUACAAUAGAGUCCUACUUGAUAGAAGAGUUAGAUUUUGAAAUCAGCAUAUAAGGUAAGAAGCACCUAAUGUCAAAUUUGCACUUGAAAAAAAUUCCUAAACUGUGCACACAUUGCAGUAAACCAUGAUUUUGUGGAUCCCUUCCUAUACAGCAACGUGCAUAUAUAGAUGUGCAUAGAAAGUAUGUGCCAUCUUACAAUAUUUUCAGUAUUUUAAUUAAGUUGAAUUUAAAUAAAUAAAAUACUCACAUGCUAUAACUCUGCUGUUUUAAGAACACUGUUACCAAUUCACUACAUUUACAUGAUGCCUAAAUAGCCAGCCAAUGCAGAAAGGUCAGUUAGAAAAUGAGGCCAGUGCUUGCCUCUCUUUCUUUCCAUUGAAAGGGUGUUACUGAGUGUCAGGGUCCACACAAAGCGGGAGCUAGAGUGGGCAUGAAGGCAGUUUGAUGGGAGUCAGGGUCUAUAGAGGGAGGGCUGCUGAGCAGGGCAGAGGCCUGGUAGAAUCAGAUGCUUGGCUCCACACAGGGAGUCCACUUUCCUAAUGCUGGAGAAGGUACAAACAUGGAAAGAGGAAAAGUUGAGAUGAAUGAUGUGUUAUUAGAUUGGAAUUGGAAGAGUGGAUAUAUAAAUAUAUAUGACAUGUAAAUAAACAUGGAUUUAAGUGUGUGUCUGUAUGUAUCCAUUGAAGGGACCUGGGAGCAACAAUGCCUGAGCAGCAAUGAGCAAGUUUAAUGCCCAGUCUUGAUUUCUAAAUGCUUUCCACUAUAAGAAACAAGAGUUUAUUGAGACUCUGAAAGCAGAACAGGGGAAGAAUAAGGAGCUUUGAACAUGUUGGGCCAGAAGGUAAGAAAGUUCUCAGAAAAACAAUGAGAACAUGACCAAAGGAUCCAGGAGCCACCUUGAAGGAGCUCCUACUGACCAAAUCUGGAACAACUUAAGCAUAUAAAUAAGUAAUGAGAGUAGUGGAUUAUAAUCCACUGCAUAAAGAGGAACCCAUGAAUCCACAAUUAUAUAGUAAGUAAAUAGAUAAAUGGGAAGAAAAUAAAUGGGUAAGAGAUUAUUUCUUAAAUUAGAAUGCCAAGUAAUAAAUACAAAAGGAAUUCAAGCAAGACAUCAAUAAAUACUAAAAUUAGUGGAUGAAAGUGAGAUGAGAAACAGAAUUUUACAGAGUUUCAAAGUAUCUUUCUACAAAAUGUUUAAUUACAAAGGGAGAAAAAGUUAACAUUAUAGUGGAGAAACCUAACAGACACUAUCUGAUGAAGUGAUCAAAGUUAACACUCCCAGUAAUUGGAAAAAUCAGUAUCAUAUGUCACCUAAUCAAAUGCAAUGAGAAAAACACAACAUCACUUCUCUAAAAUUUAUAACCUGGUUAUAAUCAAGAGGAAACAUUGGACAACAGAAAUUUGGAGAACUUCUAUUGAAUAACUGACCUUGGAAAAUGUCAAGGCCAUGAAAGUCAAGUAGAGAUUGCAGAACUCAUUCAGACUAAAAGGAGAUAGAGAGACAUGGCAGACAAUGGAGUGUAACGUCUUCUCCUGAACUGGACCUUUUUACUAUAAAGACAUGAGAACAACUGGCAAAACUUGAAUCGGGUCUCUGGGAGAAGUAUAUUCAGGAGUCCACCAUACUGUUCAUGCAAAUUUAUUAAAUUCAUUCAUGUAAAUUUUCUGUAAGUUUGAAAAUGAAAAAAUAAAACCCACUUUAUUCUUAUUAAUUCUUUUUUUAGGCUCUCACUGUGCAGCUCUAAAGUUAUAUAAGCCAAGAAAGGGACAUUAAUGGGAAAUUAAUGACAGCAUCAAUAAAAUGGAAAAGAAGAUGAACUAAUUACAUAACAUCAACCAAUCAGUUUUUUCAAAACAGGUUUUACUGUUUGGGGUUUGUCUACUCUGUUGGCAUCCUGUAGGCACCAGCUUUGCCUAUUCACAUUUUCCUUUCACGUAGCUUGUGUACCCAUUUUAAACACAGCAAAAGAUACUUUGAGAAUACCUUCUGCACUACUUUUAUCUUUUAUUUUCUUUCCUUUUCUUCUUACCUUCCUUCCUACUCUCCUUUAUUUUUGGAAGCUGCAUUCACCCUACUGGAAGAACCUAUUCUGAACAUAAAGUAAUUUGCCUCAUCCUGCUUAUCCCCAUGACAAAUAGUUUAAGUAGCAUCUGGUGAGACAAGAGAAAAGAGUAACUAUACAUUUACCCUUCUGCACCCUCAUCUUCUACCCAGCUGUCUCUCCUCCCUUUUCCUCUUUAUCAAUAUUUUCCCCUUCUUUGGACCAACUAUUUAAACUGUUCUUAAAAUUUAUUAAAUAGAAGUGGACCUCCAGCAAUUUUUCUUGCUCCUAUAAUCUAAAGUAUUCAAACUCCUCACUUGAAACAUGAAAGAAAAUCAGGAUGUAAACGUUCCCCUUUUUAAACUUUUUUAUUUUCUAAACCAUCUUCCUCUGCAUAAAGUCAGUCUGCCACUCUAAACAGCACUUGUCAGGAAUGUGUGAAGUUAUUAAAAGAGAAGGAACUUUAGAAGAUCUAAAUUCAAAUUACCUUGACUACCAUUCUUUAGUAAUAAAAGGGGAGAUAGAAAGAAGACAGAAACCACCAGAUUUUCUAAAAUCUCCAGCAAUAUUCAUCCAUCUAAAGCAUCUGAGAAACAAUGACCCAAGUUAUAUUGGGAGAGAUAUUUUAGCUCUCUUGCCUGAAUCUAACUCACAGAAACUGGGGAAAUAUCAAAAAUCACUUAUUCUAAAUGUUUCGGUCAAGAAGUGUUUUGGAUUUCAGAUUUUGGAAUAUUUGCAUAUACAUAGUGAGAUAUCUUAGGGGUGGGACCCAAGUCUAAACACAAAAUUCAUUUAUGUUUUAUAUGCCCUUUAAACACCAUAGCCUGAAGUUAAUUUAAUAUAAUAUUUUUAAUAGUUUUGUGCAUGAAACAAAGUUUUGACUGUUUGACUGUAACCCAUUACCUAAAGUCAGGUGUGGAAUUUUCCACUUGUUACCUGGAGUGCAUCAUGUUGGCAUUGAAAUAGUUUUGGAUUUUGGAGCAUCGGAUUUCAGAUUUUUGGAUUAAGGAUGUUCAACCUGUAUUAGAUAGCCUGGUGCUUUUCUCCUCAUAAUCACUCCAAUAAUAAUGAAAGGAUAAUCAUAAAGAUGACAACAAUUACAACAAAGAUGAUAAAAAAAAUUAAGCCACUUGGCAACACUAUUUGUGGCCUCAUGAAAAUGACUCCCAAUGUCAUAAUUCCCUCUGAGAUCCCCACAAUAAAAAACUAUUGGAACUAGAACUGCAUACCGCAGUUAUUGGUCAUUUCACAUGGUGCCAUGUUCAGGCAUAGCUGGUAUGAGUGCUAUUUGCUUUCAUCCAGGGGAGCCAUUCUCAGUAAGCUUCAUCUCUGUGCUGAUGAGAGCCUGGGUCUGUUCUUCUAGCCCAGGAUCUUCACAUCUCUCAAAGGACUGCAGCUCUCCUUAGAUAUUCUGUGUACCACAGGAAGGGGCUGUACCAAUUUACAGCAAUCUCUUUUCAACAUGGUAACUAAUGCAAGUAUUAGACCACAAGGCUUCUCUUUGGAAACUUGUCCAAAGGCUGUCAUCUCUGCUAUUCAUUCAUUCAUUCAUUUAGUCAACAAAUAUUUAUUAAGCAACAAACGUGUGCAAGGCACUGUUCUUGGCAUAGUGAACAAAACAGAUUAAAAUUCUGAUCUUGUGGAACUUGCAUUCUAAUAAGGGAGACAAUUUUUUUUUAAAAUGAAGUAAAAUAGAUAGGGCGAUAGGGAGUGCUGGGCCCAGGAAGAAAGGGUUACAAUACUAAAUAUGAUAGUUAGGGAAGCCCUCAAAUUUGAACAAG